UACGAACCGUACAAACGUUAUUCGGAAUCACUGGGCUUAAAGGGUGCGUAGGCGGCCAUGUAAGUGGGGUGUGAAAUCCCUCGGCUCAACCGAGGAACUGCGCUCCAUACUGCAUGGCUUGAGGGAGACAGAGGUAAGCGGAGCUGAUGGUGGAGCGGUGAAAUGCGUAGAUAUCGUGAGGAACACCAGAGGCGAAGGCGGCUACCUGGACAAUUGCUGACGCUCAGGCACGAAAGCGUGGGGAGCAAAAGGG
rnacentral:rRNA from 1 species